GAUUAAUUCAUUUGUUAUUUAAAGGUUUUUAUGGCUUAUUUUUUAUGGUCGCUGAUUUGAUUUCUUAAGCAUUUGCUGAAUUUCUUAAUUACUUGAAAGUAUUUAUUGGCAAGUCCUUUAAUUUCUCAAUGCAAACUGCAGUUGAACGCCACCUUAACAUACAUAAAUUAAAUCAGUGGCAUUUUUAACGCCAUUCGCAACACAACGCGGCAAAGGAAGCUCGAAUCUCGGUGCUUACGACUAUCAAAUUAAAUUGCGUUGUUUUCUUUCUUGCUUUUUAUUAUUUUGCUGUUUUUGUUGUUAUUUUUUUUUGUGAUUGCCCCAAUAUUGAUAUGCCAUCCGCGGGCCUGGCCGAGAGUGUGCUUUAAAAUGAACAACAACAUUCGAUGCGGCCAGCAUUGCUGUGUACUUUGGUAAAGCGCAUUAUGGCAUUCGCAUUACGUUGCCCGGCCGCUUAUCAAGGACCACUUAAAAUCCUCACCAGCUACCCAACCACGUCGAAUCAACCUGCAGCUGACUUGUCCAGUCGAUCUCGUUCACUUGUUUUUGGGUGGUGCCAAUGACGCUGCAAUUUCGUGCGGUUGCGCCCGUUCGAGGGGUGCGGGCUGGAGCGGAAGCUCUCAGAACUGGACUGGACUGACAGCAGCAUUUGGGGUAUGGACUGGAGUCUGUGGUCGGUGCCGGUCAAUGGCAAUAAAAUGUUUCAUCAUUAAAAAACCAACGUGAGAGCGCCAAAAAGGAAAAAUGUUAAUUUCGUAUGAAAACAAAAACAAGAACAACAACGGACCAAAAUAAUAGCAAGUGAAAUGUGUUUGUUUUUUUUCUUGUCUUUAUAUAUAUAUUGAGAAUGAUGAUGAUGUUGAGAAUGAUGUGAAUGUGGUUGUGGAUGAAGAUGGGUCUCUCCUGAUGUGUGCGAGUGCGUGUGUGUGCAUGUGUGUGUUAAGUGCGUACAUAAAGGUGUGGGCCCUUGAAUAUGUGUCUUUGUGUGUAUGUAUCCGCAAUAAUUAGUUGCAUGGUGACCCAUUUAAAUUUCGGAUUGUGUUGGGAUUCUCCUAUAUUACUUUUUGUUUGAGGUAUAUAGUGGUUGAACUGAGUAAUGCAUAUAAGGAAGACAGAAAAAGAUUUCUCUGAUAUCUUUGGUGUAUUUUUUAUAAGAAUCCAUGAUGUGGUAGUAUUCCUGCUUUGCCAUUGGUCAGCUUUGAUCAUAAAAUAAUCAACUAUUGUUUAUUGUUUUGUAUACUCAACAUUCUUUCUCGCUCUUCAACAAUUUCCUUUUAUCCAAAAUGUCACAUUCGCGCAUAACUUUUGCCAUUAAUUUCAUCCCAAGUGAUGGAUCCUUUCCGUUUCAUUCUCUUUAGUGAAUAAUCCUUUUCCAUUUCUAUCCGAAUGAUGUUUCCAUUCAGCUCAAUUCACUCAUUUACUGCAUAAUACUUUUCCAUAUUAUUAUUAUUAUAUAUAUUUAAAUCACCUUAUUUCUCCGUCUUUUUAUAUUUUCUCAGCUAUCACAUCGCACUCGAUACUCGUAUUUGCUUUAUAUUUCAUUCCUAACUUUUUGCUCAUAAUUUAAGUAAAAGGCACUGAGAAGUUUCUACACAUUAAUUGAUUUCAUCUUGUCAGCGUUUUGUCAAUUAAUUUUCCCCCAAAUGAAGGCUCCUUUCAGUUUCAGUCGGUCCUUUAGUCAAUAAUCCUUUGCCAUUUUUGUGUGCUUGCUCUGGCUGCUUCAGCUUUGAGCUGCUAUGCUUUUAAUUUUCAGCUGAUCUUUUGAUUAAUGCCUAAACGGAUGGUCCUUUUUGCCCAUGCUCGUCUCCUUUAUGCAAAUGGCCGGCACUUUAAUUAGAAAAACUCCGUUUGCUUCGAGGGGAGCAAGAAAAAUGCCGUUCAUUUGGCUACUCCCCUCGGAAAGUUGUCGCCAAGUUUUGCUCAUUAUGCCCAGUUUUUUUUUGUCGCUUUGUUUGUCAUUUAUAAAUUGGAAAAGUUUUCUUAAGCAAAUUAUGCCAUUUUUUUGUUUUCAAGAGCCGAACCCUUUUCGAGUAAAUGUUCGUCUUUGGUUUUAAUCGGGCAAAUGCUUUUCCUCUUGCUGGAAAUUCGUUGCGCUUUGCCAUGCUGCAAGAAUUUAUCUCUAAAUGCAAAGCAGCAUCGAGCUGCGGCAUUUGGCUGGCCGAAAAAAAAUAAAAAACAACUCCAUCUCAACGAAUUCAACUUUAACCGCUGCCAAGACCCUUUCGUCCUUGCAGCAGAGACAAACAAAUUAAAGGGGGAUUAUCAUCAUUUCAUCUUGUUGGCUGACGACUGCCCCUGCUCCGCGUUCCUCUCGUUCUUGUUGAACCCUUUGUGGCCAUCGCCAUCAUGCUCAGCUGACGUUUCUCAAGCGACGACUGCGUCACUUGGUCGCCAGCCAGCCAGCCAUCCAGCCUUCCUGCCUGCUUGCCUGUUUCCUUUCUUCUUCUUGGUUGUUUUUUUUUUUUUUUUGUCAUGUUUUUCCUACUGCGACUCAGAUUUGCCUCCAAUUCGGACCUGGCAGCGGCAUUGAGGUAGGCAAGGGUUAACUACUGCUAACUCCAGCUCCGAGUUCGGGCCCAGCUUCAGGUUCCCAAGCGACGACUUUUGCAUCCGUUCGCUCGGUGCUGGUGCAUUCAACUUUAUGUCUUUGAUUUAUUGUCGCUGCCCCUUUCCGCUGGCAAGGCAAUGAAAGCGAAACAAUGCCUGGUACGGGCAACUGCAGGAGCAGCAAGAAACGAGCCCUUGUUCUUAAGCCAACUGUCUUCCGUAUAGAGGUCUGCUCCGUAAGUAGGUCUAUAGGCUACCGUGGCACUUUCAGUUUUCAGUCAGAGCCGCGUGGGUUUAGCCGUCUGUGAUUGCUUCUGCUUCCUUUUGUCUUCUUGUGAUGUAAUAAAUAUGCGACCCUUUGUCUGCUGCAGAUCGCUAUCCCAACGCCUCUCACUCUCCCUCGUCUCCAUCGCUUGUCUCGUUUCUUGUGGCUGCAUGUGAAAAUAGUAACAUGUGUUGUUCAAGGAAAGGGAAAUGCCAUAAAUACUCGUUGAAAAUCUGUUGAUUGGUGAGCAAAUAAAUUCUUGUCUAUUUUGUGGUCAGCCACGUCCGCACCAGGCUCACAGACGGAGCCACAUAGAUUAUGUAAUAAAGAUACUCGCAGAGGAAACAAGUGCUGCUGCGGGGCGUAUCCAUUGUAAUUAGCCAAGCGAAUGUGGCCUACAGUUUGAGGUUCAUCAGUUUGUUAUUGAAACCUUUUUUGCUGCCUGCUCGAGUCGCCGCCUUUUGCCCGUUUGCUAAUCCAACUCGAAUUCUAAUGGCUACUGCAAAACUUUUGUGUGCGUACGCGUGUGUGUGUGGGUGUGUGCUGCAAAAGUAGACCACAAAAUUGUUGGUAUUGCUAUCAAGCAACCCCACCAACAAGCUCGGCAUUAAACCAAAAGACAGUGCAAACAAAUAACCACACAAAUUGUGACAAGGCUCCCAGCAAAGUUUUUCUGUUUGGGGCGUGCAACGCAUACGCCGUGUUGCCUGCCACAGACUUGAACCAUAAGCACAUCCACUGGCAAAUGAGAAGUUGUUGUUGUUGCUGCUGCUGCUGCUGUAAACGUGAUUGAGCGGCAGCAAUUUGAUUGAUGACUAUUGUUUGUUUCAUUGAACAUAUGCAAUAUGCACAAAAUGGCUUAAAAAGUAUAAACAAAACUUUUAAAAAUGUUGCCAGACAGCAAAGAUAGAUGUGAUUUGUAUAUUGGCAUUUAAUUGGGUCUCACAUAAGUCUGAAAUAAUAUUACUUUAUUUAGCUCAGUAUUUGCAUGCAACACCUGCCCAUUAUAAUUGCAGUUGUUGCUGCCGCAAGUGGGUGUAGCACGACAACAACAAUGCAAUUGCCAAUUGGCGACUGAUGUGAGAAAUGAGAUUCACUCAUUCGCUCGUCGAGUCACUCGAGCACCUGCUCAGCAAUGUUUUCCCCUCAUUUUUCUUGUGUGGGGCCUUAUGCGCAUGUCAGGGUUCUCUGUCCCUGGCUGUGUUUGAGCUUUGAGCGCCUGGCAAAUGUCAACUUCGAUCAGCAGCAGCAGCAGCAGCAGCAGCGGCGGCAGCAACAGCUACAGCUGAGUGAAACCUGCCCGCCCCGUUGUUGCUGCCACACGUAGGUGCAUCCAGGUCCAAAGGAAAUGUCAGUCAGGCGACAAGCCCACAAGCAACAACAACAACAACAGUUGUUGCUGCUGUUGCACCAGGGCUAAUCCUGAGCCAAAACACGUGCAACAGCGGCAACAGCAGCAGCGGCAGCAGCAGCGACUGUGGUGAGUUCACUGAGCGACAAAGCUGCAAGGCGACAAAAGUUCGGGCAACAUGUUGCAGUUGCUGAUUGCUGUUCUUGUUGCUGUUUGUAUGGCUGUUGCUGCUGGCAAAAUUGCAAUUUCACAAACAUAUACACACACAGCCACAUAGAGGGGAACUUGUAUUGGUCUCGGACUCGCUUGACGACGCCAGCAGCAGUGGCAGCAGCGGCAGCAACUGCAAACUGUGCCGCCCGGCCUAUAAGACCAAAGCUGGCGUUGCCGCUGCCGUUGCCGUUGCCGCUUGACGUCGAUUCCGAUUCCGAUUCCGAGUCCGAGUCGCUUUUUAAGCAACCCGCAUUCGCUUUUUGGCUUUCGUGCCGCGCGGCAGCCAAAACCCAGAGAAUUCACCAGAGAACUUUUUGCACGCGUAUUCUUUCGACAUACGUUUAUGGCGUAUCCUAGCGGGUUCAAAAACCAACAAAAUAAAAACAAAUAUAUAUAUAUAUAUAUUACGUACUAUAUAUUGGCAGUGUCUUGUGUGUUGUGUGUUAAACGAAAACAAUUGAAAACUGCGAACUGCAUAAAUUGUUGCAAUCGUGUUGUUCGCCAAUUUGCGACGGCAAAAGUUUUGUGACCUUUUUACGAAAGGAAAUUGCAUUUUGCAGCUUGCAGUUUGCACUUUCGAAUUUGCAAUUUCGACAUUUUGACAAUUUUGUCCAUUUGUGUGAGGGCCGCAAAAUUUUGUGCUUAAAUGCUGAAGCGGCUGUUAAGCUUUUAGUCGAUUGUCGCCUUCGGAGAGGCAACGCCAACGCCUUUGGGCCACAAGCUGCAAAUGCUGGUUGACUGGCACAUUUCUCUCAAAUUUACCAAAAAGGCGACCGCAGGCAAAAGUUGAGGCACCAGCAACAACAACAACAGCAGCAACAACAACUACGACGACGACAACAGCAAUAGCUGCAACAACAACUUGUACAGCAGCAACAUGUUGCACUCGUGCACUCGCCCAAGCAAUUUGCAUACAAAUGUUGCCGUGUGGCACUUGAAAAUGCAAUCGCUGUCACUAAAAGGAAAACGGGCUGAGCCAGCCUGAGUCCCAACCAGAGGCUGCUACAGGGCCCGGCAGCAGCAGCAGCAGCAGCAGCUGGCGAGGCUGCCGUUUCAUAAUUUGAUAUUAAACAUGCGCCCCGUAUGUAGAACUUGUAAAUUUGCAAAUUGCUAAAACGCAUGACAGGCGCAGAACGAAGGCAGCUGCCUGAUUCUUUUGCUGCCCUCCUCCCCUUCUCGCUUCCCCUGCCUGUCCUACUUCUUGCACCUUUCUCUCAGUCCGAAUGCUGUGCCACACAGUUCAAAAGGCAUUUUGCCCGCCAGCGCUGCGUGAAUUUGCAUUUACAUGGCUCUACCCAAACCCAAACCCAAAUCGAAAGCCAAACCCGCUUAGUGGCAGCAAGAAGUUAAAUGCAGCCACGCCCCAGCCCGCACAGUGCCCACAAAACGUCGCUCAAUUGACUUUCAAUUGCAAAACAAACGCAACACAAAGCAGUCGAAAAACAAAGCAAAAAAACAAACCAGAACAAAAAGCAGCUGAAUUUAUUUCAAUUUUUUGUUUUCGUUUUUUGCCAUUGACUGGGUUAUGAUAUGUUGAUUUCCAAGUGCGCAUAUAGUAUAUGAUUGACAUACUCAUGUUGUCCGAUCAAUUGAACGCCUGCGAGUGGAUGUGGAAGCAGCCAAGUGUUUAUUUUGCAAUUUUUUUUGUUUAAAAUUUUAUUUCUUAAAGAUUUGUUAAUAUUACACUUGGCAGCGUUAUACAAAUUAUGAGUCUCAAGUGUGCUCACGCUUUUCUUAACGGAAGAGUGUCUCGAGAUUUGGCUUAAAAGCAAAAGGUAAGCCCAUGAGACUGGCUGAUAGUACUUGAAAUAUCUGAAGAAUUCUUUUUUAAGUUUUUGCCAAAUUUAGAAAUAAUAAUCAGAUUAUACAUUUUCUACAUCUCUCUAUCUCUCUCUCUCUGACUUGUUUUUCUCUAAUUUUCUCAAAUUGUGAAGCUCAAGUGUUUUCUCACUUGACACAAUAAAGUCAACCCAUAAGACUGGCAGAUGAACUUGGAAUAUCCGAUAUUUAAUAAUAUUUUCCUAUAGAAAAAGUAACAACUAACUAGUUUUUUCUCUCGCUCUCUCUAAUUAGUUUGUCCCCAGUUUUCUCCUACUUGUUCUAAUUUGCGAAAGCAGUUUCAAAUUAGUAACAUUUCAUUUGUUUAUGAUUUAUAUAAACUUAGGCGCAGUUGCCACCUCUGACCACUUGUAAUUAAGAGCGUCGUGUAAACGGAUAAAUUUGAUAUUUGGGGGUCCUUUUCGGUUUGUGCCAACAGGCGGUAAAACUUUGUUACUAUUCAAGCAGAGCUCCAGUAAUUUUUUCAACCUAAAAAGCACGCAAUUAGCCAUUAAUCAUUUUUAUGAGACAUUUCUGCAAAAGGAAACACAACACAAACAGACGAAUAUUUAAUAGUCACGCAACGUGGCAAAGGCACAGAUCGCAUUGAGGGGCAACCAAAACAUGGCUAAAAAGCAAGAAAAGGAUAGCAAUAAGGUCAAGGCAGCCGCUUCGCUCGCACCAGCACGUGCGUGCUGCUUGUGGAAAAUGUCAAUCUAAUGGAAAACAAUAAUCAAUAGGCCAUACUGUAAGGAACAGGACAAGGACCCAGUACCAACUGUCAGACAGUUGAGCAAGCAGAAGAAAAACAUACAACACACAAAGUCGUCGAGGAAGUUGCGCCCAGGACGAUAAGAGACGUGUGUGUGUGUGUGCGCGCAUGUGUGUGCGGCAUGUGUGUUACGCACCCCCACAGGCUUCACAGUCAUAUGUGUAUAUGUAUGAAUGUGCUUGUGUGUGCACUUUUCUGGGUAGUUCAUAACUUUUGUGACUUUUAUCGUGGCUGUUUGUGGUGGUUUCUUGGCCCAGAGCCGAGCAGGACUCACAGUUGGACUGCCAUGUUUUUGCCUGGCCCCGUACACGCCUGUGUUUAUACACUCACACACAUUUGUAGGCGUCGCCCAGACGCUCUGUCUCGCUUGCACCCGCACAGUCUGGAAACUGUGCCAAAAACUUUGGCAAAGAACUUGCCAACUGACACACAUGCCACGAACCGUUGCAACAAAAAGCGGCUAAAAACCGUGGUACAUGCAUAAACAGCUCUAGUUUAUCGUAUACGCAAUUUUUAGCGGGUUUUUAAUUUUAGAAUACCCGCAACUCACGGCGCGAUUCAACGAGAUCGUUCAAUCUUAUCAGCGCCCACAAUAAUCGCACAUGGUGUGGCCCGCGGCUUGACAUCGCCGCUCGAUGAGCAAUUGAAAAGCAAUCGGCAACCGUUGCGAAAUUUAAAUGAUGUCAGACCUGGGUCGGCAACGACCGAUACUGUCGUUGAUAGUCCACGCCCAAGUAGCCCAGGCAGACAUCAAAACCCUAUAGAAAGCGAGACGAUAGAGUCAGAGAGAAAACUAACGACCUAUCUGCAUAUACAAGUCAUUAGCCGGUGCGUAGGAUGCCUCACAGCUGAUUUAUGUCGUAGGCUCCCAUUGAAAUUCAUGAGUGAUCAACAAGAAUUAUAUUCAAAGUGAAAACAUAAUAGCCAACACAACAUAUCUACAACAAAUUUUUGAAAAUGAAUACAUGAAAAAAAUGAAGUCAGCUUGGUCAUAGAGUUUGUGCUCAGCUAAAGAAUACCCUGUAGUCAUUAGACUUAUGCAAGCCAAUAACAAUUCCAUUUAAAGGAUAAUUUAAAACUUCGGGUAUCAAUAUAUCGUAUAUUAUUUUCUAUUUCAACUUCAAAAUUUAGUUCAAGAAAAAUCCAAAUCAUAUUCCACAUCUAAAAAGGAAAGUUAAAAAAUUUUAUGUAAGAUAGAGAUUACGACCUAAUAUCAAAUUUUCUCAUUUUCAAGUUUAUUUUUGGAUAAUCAACUUUUUUCUGUUAAGCCUUUGCCUCAUUUGUGUCUAGUGAAAAAAACUAAAACGCCCUUUAGGUGUUUUCUGCCCAGAGUAUGAAGAGGCAACCAAAACGGGGCGUGUUACGAGCAAUGAAAAUGUGUGGCCGUUGUGGCUUUGGCUGCACCUACGCGUCGGCUCAAAUUUAUAUAUAUGGGGAAACAAUCGUAGAGCAUAUACAUACAUGAUGUCGCCCUACACGUUAGCAUAUAAAACAAAUUAUAAUUUAUUUUAUA